rnacentral:snoRNA from 1 species
AAGACUAUACUUUCAGGGAUCAUUUCUACAGUUUGUUACUAGAUUUACUGCUUUAAAUGAGACAUUCUCAAAGUCAAUUGUGA